UUGGCUGGUUGGUUGAUUGGCUCACUGGCUGGCUGACUGACAGACAGGCUGGCCCAAGCUGUUUGGGUUCAUUCGUUUUAUUGACAAGCAGCCAGUCCGAAUUCAAGAACAGAAGGAACACUGGAGUUGUAUAGGCAGAACUUCCGUAACAAGAUCACCUUUCAAUGGUAGCACACCACAGCGAUUAGUAUAGCUGCUUCCUUUCCUAAUCUUAACACACACGUUGAGAAAAUCUCCACCACCCCCUCUCUCUCUCUCUUUCAAAAUACGUUACGCUUAAGUCGACCUGCAGGGGCUCGAGUUAGUUGUGAUGUAGUCACAGUGUAGUGGUGGUGGUGAUGGUUAUUGUGGUACAAGUGGGAAACGAAUGUGGUGGAUAGGGAUGAGGCAGUCGCUCCACAGGGGUCAGCGAGGUUGGCGAAUUGGAUUACAGAUUUAUGUUACGGAUAUUUUUAAAGAAUCACUAUCUCGGAUGUUUAAAACAUGAAUCUGAAAAAAUUUCAAAAGAAAGUUAAAGCUGAAAAAUUGCAGAAAGUAUCGGGAACAAACACCGCCAUUUAUUUAUUCGCUGAAUUCUAGUUUACGCUGUUUAAAGCAUACGCAUCAGAAAAAGAUUACAGUUUUUGUUGUACUAGAUAUUUCCGACGCUAUUCUGUAUGAACACCUUUCUUUUUUAUAUGACAGUCUUUCAUAGUUUGUUGUUGAGCUGGCAUAAUCUUUAACACUCCGGACAAAAUGUUUAACGGCAUAUCGUAUGUCUUUAAGCUCUAAGUUCAAAUUCUGCUGAUGUCGACUUUGCUUUUCAUCCUCUCGGGGUCGAUGAAAAUAAAUACCAGUUGAGCACUUGGGUCGGUGUAAUCGACUAGCUCCUCCCUCAAAAUUUUAGGCUUUGUGCCUAUGGUUGAAAGGAUUAUUAAUUCGCACCCGUUCCUUUUCCAUUGACUAAAGAAUGAAAAAAAGUAUAUCAGUUA